rnacentral:rRNA from 1 species
UGGGGGAUAUUGCACAAUGGAGGAAACUCUGAUGCAGCAACGCCGCGUGAGGGAAGAAGGUCUUCGGAUUGUAAACCUUAGUAGUCAGGGACGAAAGAAAUGACGGUACCUGAAGAGUAAGCUCCGGCUAACUACGUGCCAGCAGCCGCGGUAAUACGUAGGGAGCGAGCGUUGUCCGGAUUUACUGGGUGUAAAGGGUGCGUAGGCGGGACUGCAAGUCAGACGUGAAAUACCGAGGCUUAACUUCGGGGCUGCGUUUGAAACUGUGGUUCUUGAGUGAAGUAGAGGCAGGCGGAAUUCCUAGUGUAGCGGUGAAAUGCGUAGAUAUUAGGAGGAACACCAGUGGCGAAGGCGGCCUGC